ensembl:ncRNA C32C4.15 ncRNA
CUUUUUAUGGCAGUGUUCUCACAUCCAUUAUAGCAUUUUAGUAUCAAGUUUCAAGAUAUUUGCGAUUUUAACACCAGAAACAGAAAAACGAAAAAAAGUUUUUUGAAUCCAAAAAUAGGAAA